ACAUAUAUAAUACUAUAAUAAUAGUUGAUUUCAUAAAAUAAAAGCAGAAGUUGAAGCUUGCAAAAGUGGCGUUCCAAAUUGUACACUCUUGUAAAAGUGGCGUUCCAAAUUGUACAGCUCGUUCAAAUACAUUUUCCACAUUCAAGACGUAAUUUCUACUCAAUUGAAAGAUGUAAGAAUUAGUAGCAAUUUGUUUUAUUGGAUCACUCCCAAAUAACAGAGAUUUUAGUGCGUUUACGACAGGAUUUUUUGCUGGUGAUACUUGAAACACAAUCUGAUGAGGUUUUUCUAAUUUUUCAGUUAUUUGUUACCUAAAUACUAAACGAAACAUAUUGAAGUUGAGAAGUAUGAGUUUUUGUAAGGGACUGCGUUUUGUAAAUUUAACUUUUGUGGCAGUUAAUGUAACUUUGAUUUUAUCUAGAUUCGAGGAAUACGCUGUGAAACGUCACAAAUCAAAUUGUUAAAGUUUAACAAUAUUUUACGGUGAAUUACAGUAUGAUUUUAUUUUAUAUUUGGAGCGAAAAUGAAAGUUUAGCGUGGUUUCAAAACCAUGUUUACGCUAUUCUACUGUGGUCCAAUAACCUUGGGCCUAGGUACAGCUAGCUGUGGCCGUGGUACUGUGGCCGUGGUAACAGCUAGCUGUGGCCGUGGUACUGUGGCCGUGGUAACAGCUAGCUCUGUGGCCGUGGUACUGUUACCGUGGACCCGGUAUUAAUCAGAAAAUAGCAAAACGCUAAAUAAAACUGCGUUACACGUGCAUUAUAAAAUGUAAACGUAGUUAUAUAGGAGUAUUAGAGAUUGUGUACAUAUUAUUACGUUAUCAGUAUCUUGCCCUUAUCAGUUAUCCACCCCAUUCUGGCCGGUAACAGUCAGAACAUAAUAUCUGAUUACAUCAGAACUCUGGAAAAGCUACUUAAAGAUGCUUAAUUAAUAUGUUCACGAUGCCAAAAUCGUUGAUUGAAA